rnacentral:rRNA from 1 species
UACGGAAGGCAGCAGUGGGGAAUAUUGCACAAUGGGCGCAAGCCUGAUGCAGCCAUGCCGCGUGUAUGAAGAAGGCCUUCGGGUUGUAAAGUACUUUCAGUCGUGAGGAAGGUGUUAAGGUUAAUAACCUUAGCAAUUGACGUUAGCGACAGAAGAAGCACCGGCUAACUCCGUGCCAGCAGCCGCGGUAAUACAGAGGGUGCGAGCGUUAAUCGGAAUUACUGGGCGUAAAGGGCACGCAGGCGGUUAAUUAAGUUGGAUGUGAAAUCCCCGGGCUUAACCUGGGAAUGGCAUUCAAGACUGGUUAGCUAGAGUCUUGUAGAGGGGGUAGAAUUCCAUGUGUAGCGGUGAAAUGCGUAGAGAUGUGGAGGAAUACCGGUGGCGAAGGCGGCCCCUGGGACAAAGACUGACGCUCAUGUGCGAAAGCGUGGGGAGCAAACAGGAUUAGAUACC